AAGAACUCUUAUAUGCGGGAGCCCAGGCACCAUAUUGUCUUUUCGAGGUGGGAGCCGACUGUUGUGAGGUAUGGUGCUGGGUGCAGAUGCAAUGUGGCUCUCGAUAGCACCUUAUGGGCAGUUGUGUCCCAAAGGAGGGAUGACAAUAGCUACUGAAGUAAGUUGAAAAUUCCUUCAAAAAGAUUUAAAGUCACUGGAUGUGCCACAAUGAUGACAGUUUAUUUGCUACUCUUGACUGCUAAAAUGAUGAGGAGCUUAACCACCAUUAUCUUAACUGAGGCACCCAAAAUGGUGAUUUGGGGAACAUAGAGAGUACACCUAAGUUCACAUGAAGUUGUUUCUUCCCAGAUCCUAAAGAGCAAGCCUAACUCAAGCCAUUGGCAUACAGGUGAGAAACCUCUAUAUUGUACUUCUCACUUUUUGAGGGAUUAGAAAAUAGCCAAAUGAAUGAUUUUAUAUAUAUUAGUGUUUUUCUCCCCACUUUUCAAAUGAGAGUUUUGCUCUCAUAUUGAUACUAAAUUUGAUACUGAGGAAAACGUGAAACCAGAUACUAUGAUGGCUGCAUAGUUCAGCAGAUUGAAUCAUGAAGAAAUGUACUGUGUGUCUGAUGUGUCUGGGGUGGUUGCGGUUUGCUGUUACUAGUUAAGCAGUGUACCACCAAUCUACCAUUAAAAUAUUCUUUACUGACAAUUUUGUAUUAAAAUUACAGGCAUUAGACAGAAAACUAGAAGUUGAAAUGGUAAGUAAAAUUAUAUCCAAGUAAACAGGUAACUGGGCAAACUGCCUACGGCACAAAUGGCUUUUUAGAGUUACCUCCAACCAGUGCUAAAUGCAUUAAAUAAAUGGCGGGUUCUUGUCCUGUUAAUGAUUAAUAAGAAAGUUUGUAAAUGCAGCCUAGAUGAUGAUAAGCAAAUACUGACUGAACAUGAAGGUCUUAAUUAGCUCUAACUGAUAAAAGGCAUUUGUUAGUUUUGGCAGGUGGGGGGAAGCUCAUCUGUGGCUAUUGUAAGACCACUCUUAAUUUUUAGGUGGAGUCCAACUUGUCUGGACCAGCUUUAUGUUUCUGGUAAGUAUUAAUGAAAAUGCUGAUAGUGAUAUGCUUACUGCUGAGCUAAUGGUUUAAGGCUUGGCUGAUGAAUUCUGACUGUUUUCCUUGAACAUGUUUGAAACAGUGUGUAUUUUCCUUGAGCAUGUUUGGAACGGGGUUUGUGUAAUGAUGUUGAUCAAAUGUCUGACCUGAAAUGAGCGUGUAGACAGAAGGUAACACUGAAGAACCCUGUGACAGACAACUUUGAAAAGAAUUUAAUGAUGUUUAGCAUUUUAAUAGAAGGCCUCAUUUGUAUUCCACCUCCCGGUAACAUUUUUAUCCGUGGAUGGCUUGCUUGGAUAAGGAC